rnacentral:tRNA from 1 species
GCCUAGGUGGCUCAGUCGGUUGAGCGUCUGAGUUUGGCUCAGGUCAUGAUCUCGCAGUCUGUGAGUUCAAGCCCCACAUCAGGCU